rnacentral:rRNA from 1 species
AGGGUUUGAUCAUGGCUCAGGACGAACGUUGGCGGUGCGCUUAAUGCAUGCAAGUCGAGGGAGAACCAUUCGAUCCGCAAGGACUGGAUGGGGAAACCGGCGAACGGGUGCGUAACACGUGAGGAACCUGCCCCGAAGACCGGGAUAGCCCGAGGAAACUCGGAUUAAUACCGGAUACCCUCUUUGGACCACAUGGUCCGCUGAGGAAAUGGUCCGCCGCUUCGGGAUGGCCUCGCGGCCUAUCAGCUUGUUGGUGAGGUAAUGGCUCACCAAGGCAAAGACGGGUAGCUGGUCUGAGAGGACGAUCAGCCACACUGGGACUGAGACACGGCCCAGACUCCUACGGGAGGCAGCAGCAGGGAAUAUUGCACAAUGGGCGAAAGCCUGAUGCAGCGACACCGCGUGCGGGAUGAAGGCCCUCGGGUUGUAAACCGCUUUCAGGAGGGACGAAAUUGACGGUACCUCCAGAAGAAGGCCCGGCCAACUACGUGCCAGCAGCCGCGGUAAUACGUAGGGGCCAAACGUUGUCCGGAUUUAUUGGGCGUAAAGGGCUCGUAGGCGGUUCAACAAGUCGAUCGUGAAAGCCCGGGGCUCAACCCCGGGACGCCGGUCGAAACUGUUGUGACUAGGGUCCGGUAGAGGUGAGUGGAAUUCUCGGUGUAGCGGUGGAAUGCGCAGAUAUCGAGAGGAACACCAGUUGCGAAGGCGGCUCACUGGGCCGGUACCGACGCUAAGGAGCGAAAGCGUGGGGAGCAAACAGGAUUAGAUACCCUGAUAGUCCACGCCGUAAACUGUGAACACUAGGUGUGGCGGAUCAUUGAUGUCUGCCGUACCGUAGCUAACGCGUUAAGUGUUCCGCCUGGGGAGUACGGCCGCAAGGCUAAAACUCAAAGGAGUUGACGGGGUCCGCC